UUUGUAUUGUCUUACUAGUCUUAGGAUGUACAUUUUCAGCUAUUCUGUUUUUCAGGUGUAUUACUAAAUAACAGAAAUGUGCCACUGUACCACUGAAGAAUUGAAAAUACACUACAAAAACAGAAAGCAGAGUAAAGUAGAACCAAUUAACCUGACAGUCAAUGGAAGAACAAAACUCACAUAACUGAGACAAGAAACUCAUGAUUAUUGAUUUAAGACUCAUCAUGGAGAAGACUAAAGAGUAAGAAAAUGAAACUCUCUGAACUUAGAGACCAGCUCAAACCAUGGAGAGAUGGAGUCUGCAGAAAGGUUUGGCUCUUCCAUCAAAACACGUUGAUUCUUGACCCUGAAUAAGGCUGGUUUCAGCGCGCACCUUCUCCUAAGAAAUCAGACUCUAGAAGCAGCCUUUUGGAUUCCUAGUGCUACAGGUACUUCACUUGAAGAAAACUUAAUAGGAUUUGCAAGUCAAAGUCACAGAGAAGGACUCAGCAAGAUUCCCUUGACAAAAACAACCAAAGACUGGCCCAUUACGCAUACAUGGUUUGUGAAGCAAUGAAGUGGACAUUAAAAUUCUAUUUGUGAAAAGACACACAAAGGAUUUAAAAAAAAAAAAGCCACAGAAUGAGAGGGCGGGGAGAUAUUUGUAGCACAUUAGUUAUUAAAGGAGUUAUAUGGAUCAAUUCCAAUAAAAAUGGGCAAAAAACAUGAACAGGCACUUUACAUGAGAAGCCCUAACGCCUGAUGAACACACGAGGAGCGCCCAAGCCCGGGGGCACCAGGGAAGAGACCAUAGAACCAGAAGCAAGCCACAGACCUGCCAAGCAACAGAAGCUCAGAGGUCUCCUCAUUCCUCGUGUUGGUGACAUGCUGAGUGGCAGGAACUCUCUGCACGCUGGUAGGGAGCACAUCUGUCUAAGCCACUGGGAUGCUCUUUGGCACCAUCCACCAGAGCCGAACCCAAAAUGCCCAACCCAGGAACAGCCAUCCCAGGACAAGCCUCGUCCUAGGAGCCAAGGACGACGACUGGAUGAAGCCCUCAGAGCAGCAUGAUUUGUGAUGGCUGCAAAGGGAAAGCGAGCCAGUGUCCCCCACAGUGGUCAGGAUAAAUCCAUAGGGUGUUGCCCACCCGCUGGCAGAGAGAAUGUCAGCCAAGGCGUCAAGGCACAGCUUUCCACAAGGACAUUCACAGAGCUUGCAGGCUGCAGGGCAUUUCGGAGUCAGACCCUCUUGGAAAUUCAGUAACACCAUAGUACUAUGGAGUUACUUCUGUCUGCAGAGCCUGAACCUGCUUGAAGCAGCCCAAGACACUGGAGGGAUGAGAG